rnacentral:lncRNA from 1 species
UAUAAAAUACCCCCCUGGUCGAAGUUUGCAAAAGACCGAUCCUUCGGGGCUCUUCCGUCUCCCGACCUUGUAUAUGGCACCUCUCCGAACUCCCUCGGCUGUCCGGACUUCUCCAACAAUGGACUUCUGUGUUCACCCACCGGGCCGCCCCAAAGGCCCUUUGGGCCUCACUGACGAUCCACCUCCUACAGCAGCCAACCAUUCCUUGAGUCUCUCCUGGACUUCUUCCGACCAC